rnacentral:rRNA from 1 species
GUAACACGUAGUCAACCUGCCCUGGAGACAUGGAAAACCCCGGGAAACUGGGAUUAAUCCGUGAUAGGUCACCUCAUCUGGAAGGAGAGAUGGCUUAAAGGGAUGCGAGAGCUUCUUUCUUGCAUUCGCUCCAGGAUGGGACUGCGGCCGAUCAGGCUGUUGGCGGUGUAAUGGACCACCAAACCUGUAACCGGUACGGGCCUUGAGAGAGGGGGCCCGGAGAUGGACACUGAGAGAAGGGUCCAGGUCCUACGGGGCGCAGCAGGCGCGAAACCUUCGCAAUGCGCGAAAGCGUGACGAGGUUAAUCCGAGUGGUCCCCGCUGAGGGGAUCUUUUGUUGGCUGUAAAAAGGCCGAUGAAUAAGGGGAGGGCAAGUCUGGUGUCAGCCGCCGCGGUAAUACCAGCUCCUCGAGUGGUCGGGGCGAUUAUUGGGCCUAAAGCAUCCGUAGCCGGUUCUGUAGGUCCUCUGUCAAAUCCAACGGCUUAACCGUUGGCCCGCAGAGGAUACCGCAGGACU